GCUCGUCGGCCUGAGGUGGGGGCCGAGAGCCCUCGAGAGUCCGCGGAGGCGUGGCUGCUCUUAGACAGCAAGUGCUCUACUGGAGUCCCUGGACGCAAGUAGGCCUCCCUUUCUCCCGUGGCCUCCGGCGGUCUACCGCAAGGGCAGUGACUUUGACCUCCAGACUGUCUUAAACAUAGUAGAUAAGACAGAUCCUGUGUUGCCAAAAUUCUUUGGCCCACAUUUAAGUGGGAUGCAGCUAGCCUGGAGGUGUGGAACCUUUUAGGUACCUGUGUAUGAAUUCCAUUCACUGAGAAGUCCAGGGGUUAGUUUCCCCUGAAAGAUAUCCACACAGCAAACAUGUUUGCAAAACUAAAGAAGAAAAUUGCAGAGGAGACUGCUGUUGCUCAGAGGCCAGGCUGCACUCCUAGGAUCCCUCGGUCUGUGAGCAAGGAGUCUGUGGCUUCCAUGGGGGCUGACUCAGGAGAUGAUUUUGCUUCCGAUGGAAGCAGCUCCAGAGAAGAUCUGUCAUCCCAGCUUUUGAGAAGAAAUGAACAGAUACGGAAGUUAGAGGCCAGACUCUCUGACUAUGCUGAACAGGUCCGAAACUUGCAGAAGAUAA
rnacentral:lncRNA from 1 species